rnacentral:rRNA from 1 species
CCUACGGGAGGCUGCAGUCGAGAAUCAUGCACAAUGGGGGAAACCCUGAUGGAGCGACGCCGCGUGGGGGAAUGAAGGUCUCCGGAUUGUAAACCCCUGUCAUGGGGGCGCAAAUUAAAAAGAUAGUACCACAAGAGGAAGAGACGGCUAACGCUGUGCCAGCAGCCGCGGUAAUACAGAGGUCUCAAGCGUUGUUCGGAAUCACUGGGCGUAAAGCGUGCGUAGGCGGUUUCGUAAGUCGGGUGUGAAAGGCGCGGGCUCAACCCGCGGACGGCACAUGAUACUGGAAGACUAGAGUAAUGGAGGGGGAACCGGAAUUCUCGGUGUAGCAGUGAAAUGCGUAGAUAUCGAGAGGAACACUCGUGGCGAAGGCGGGUUCCUGGACAUUAACUGACGCUGAGGCACGAAGGCCAGGGGAGCGAAAAGGAUUAGAUACCCUUGUAGUC